rnacentral:lncRNA from 1 species
UUUCGCGUUAAUGUUAUGAGCGCCCUUUAACAGAGUGCCGAAGGGAUUGGCUAAUUAGCUCACCAAUGAACUUGAAAUCUGUUAAUUUGCUUCAAACGUGUGAACCACUAAAUUAAGACAAAUUGCUAUCAGCUGCUUGUUCCGUUUCCAUUCGCGGUUUUACUGAAACUCUCGCAGGCUACGUUUAAAUUAAACGGAUAGGGGGUUUAAUGAGAAUGGAGAAAUGCAUGAAUGCGAGCUUUGACAUGGAGGAUUGUUGCUCUGAGCUGCACCACAGCAAAAUGGAUGAUCGCAUUGCUAAGGGUUCUGCUCUAAACUCCUUACUCAACGAGCUGUUAGAAGAAAAGAUUUCUACUAAGAGGAAAAAUCAUUGGAUACUUGGCCCUGAGGACCUCAAUGAUACUCUUGUUUAUGAUUUUGAGAUUGAAGACGCAGCCUGAGCUUUUGUGUUAAUGCCUACAUGGUUGUGCUUUCACCCGUGAAUAAACAUUGCAGGUGAAAGUGUAGUUUUUAACUUAAUCAGCUAAUAGUAACUUGUAAAUAAAGUGUGUAUAUAUUU